ensembl:lncRNA
CUCUAGAUAAGACAAAUAAGGACUCCUGGAAACGUCUGGCUGUUGACUGGAGUGCUUUGUUUACUGAGGUGGACAAUGGUUCUUCUACCACUUGAAGAGGCCUCCUCAGUCCUGAGUUCCCUCGAGUUUCAAUGGGAGCAGGCAGAGGUCAUGCAUUCACAUUCUCUGGCUGUCCCUGUCUCUGACUCUGCCUCUGUCUUUCCCUGUCUCUGUAUCUCUGUCUGUCUGUCUCUCUCUUUCUCUGUCUGUCUGUUUCUGUCUCUUUCUCUCUCUGUCUCUCUGUAUCUCUCUGUCUCUGUCUCUCUCUGCCUGUCUCUAUUUCUUUCUCUUUCUCUGUCUCUGUCUGUCUGUCUCUCUUUCUUUGUCAGUCUCUCUGUCUCUGUCUGUCUCUCUUUUUCUGCCUGUCUGUCUCUUUUUCUCUCUCUCUUUCUCUGCCUCUGCCUCUGUCUUUCUCUCUCUGUCUCUGUAAUUGUCUCUCUCUGUCUGUUUCUGUCUGUCUCUUUCUCUAUCUCUGCCUCUCUUUCUCUGUCUGUCUUCUCUGUCUGUCUCUCUUUCUCUGUCUGUCUCUUUCUCUCUCUGUCUCUCUCUUUGUUUGUCUCUGUCUGUCUCUCUUUUUCUGCCUGCCUGUCUCUUUCUCUGCCUCUGCCUUUCUCUCUCUGUCUCUGUAUCUGUCUCUCUUUCUCUGUCUGUUUCUGUCUGUCUCUUUCUCUGUUUGUUUCUGCCUCUCUGUCUGUCUCUCUGUCUCUGUCUUCUCUGUCUGUCUCUUUCUCUCUCUGUCUGUCUCUUUGUUUGUCUCUGUCUUUCUCUCUUUUCUGCCUGUCUGUGUCUGUCUCUGUCUCAGUCUCUGUCUCUCUUUCUUUCUGUCUCUGUCUUCUCUGUCUGUCUCUGUCUCUUUCCCUCUCUGUCAGUCACUUUCUCUGUCUUCUCAGUCUCUCUUUCUCUGACUGUCUCUUUCUCUCUCUCUCUCUCUCUCUCUGUCUCCCCAAUUUGCUAUUCAAGUAGUCAGUUAUGUCAUCAACAAGUUUGAAUUGAGCAAUAAGCAUGAUCCGGCCCAGUCCUGGAUGUCUCCCCGUUCUUGCCAGGACUUCAAGUAUUGACUUCAGUGGUCUGAGUGGGCCCUAAGAGGUAAUGUGGUAAACAGAUUCCUCUUGGCCCCCUUGUCUACCCCACACCCAGAAAAGAAUUGGUGCUACCGUAUACCUAAGGAAUGGUCCUCCAACCUUCCCAUCAAUCAGUAGUAUUUAUUGCUAUGGCAUUAAUGUGAAUUACUAUGGCAAUAGAUGCUGAGGACACAAAGACAGAAAAGAAAAAAGUCCCUCUCCUAAAGGGCAUCCGGGGCAUCAACCAAAUGGGCAUAUAUUUAAGUAUAUGCAAAUGAUAUGCAAAACAACUUCAAAUUCUAAAUUUCUUUUUGCUUGAAGACUUGGAUGGGAAGGGAAUCUUUCUGCUGCCUGCCUGCUGCAGCCCUAGCCCUAACUCUAAUGGUUCCCCCAGCCUGCAGCCCAGAUUGGUUCCUUUGCUAUCUCUGCUACUUGUUUCUGGUUCUGUCCCUUGUGACUCCACAGAACUUCUUCCUUCAUCC